rnacentral:rRNA from 1 species
UACGUAGGGGGCAAGCGUUGUCCGGAAUCAUUGGGCGUAAAGAGCGUGUAGGCGGCCAGAUAAGUCCGCUGUGAAAUCUCGAGGCUCAACUUCGAGCUGUCGGUGGAAACUGUCUGGCUAGAGUCCGGAAGAGGAGAAUGGAAUUCCUGGUGUAGCGGUGAAAUGCGUAGAGAUCCGGAAGAACACCGGUGGCGAAGGCGGCCUGCUGGGCAGUAGCUGACGCUGAUGCGCGACAGCGUGGGGAGCAAACAGG